AGGGCGCACGGUGGAUGCCUUGACACUAGGAGUCGAUGAAGGACGGGACUAACGCCGAUAUGCUUCGGGGAGCUGUAAGUAAGCUUUGAUCCGAAGAUUUCCGAAUGGGGAAACCCACCAUACGUAAUGGUAUGGUAUCCUUAUCUGAAUACAUAGGGUAAGGAAGACAGACCCAGGGAACUGAAACAUCUAAGUACCUGGAGGAAGAGAAAGCAAAUGCGAUUUCCUGAGUAGCGGCGAGCGAAACGGAACAUAGCCCAAACCAAGAGGCUUGCCUCUUGGGGUUGUAGGACAUUCUAUACGGAGUUACAAAGGAACGAGGUAGACGAAGCGACCUGGAAAGGUCCGUCGUAGAGGGUAACAACCCCGUAGUCGAAACUUCGUUCUCUCUUGAAUGUAUCCUGAGUACGGCGGAACACGUGAAAUUCCGUCGGAAUCUGGGAGGACCAUCUCCCAAGGCUAAAUACUCCCUAGUGAUCGAUAGUGAACCAGUACCGUGAGGGAAAGGUGAAAAGCACCCCGGAAGGGGAGUGAAAGAGAUCCUGAAACCGUGUGCCUACAAAUAGUCAGAGCCCGUUAACGGGUGAUGGCGUGCCUUUUGUAGAAUGAACCGGCGAGUUACGAUCCCGUGCGAGGUUAAGCUGAAGAGGCGGAGCCGCAGCGAAAGCGAGUCUGAAUAGGGCGUUUAGUACGUGGUCGUAGACCCGAAACCAGGUGAUCUACCCAUGUCCAGGGUGAAGUUCAGGUAACACUGAAUGGAGGCCCGAACCCACGCACGUUGAAAAGUGCGGGGAUGAGGUGUGGGUAGCGGAGAAAUUCCAAUCGAACCUGGAGAUAGCUGGUUCUCCCCGAAAUAGCUUUAGGGCUAGCCUUAAGUGUAAGAGUCUUGGAGGUAGAGCACUGAUUGGACUAGGGGUCCUCAUCGGAUUACCGAAUUCAGUCAAACUCCGAAUGCCAAUGACUUAUCCUUAGGAGUCAGACUGCGAGUGAUAAGAUCCGUAGUCAAAAGGGAAACAGCCCAGACCGCCAGCUAAGGUCCCAAAGUGUGUAUUAAGUGGAAAAGGAUGUGGAGUUGCUUAGACAACUAGGAUGUUGGCUUAGAAGCAGCCACCAUUUAAAGAGUGCGUAAUAGCUCACUAGUCGAGUGACUCUGCGCCGAAAAUGUACCGGGGCUAAAUACACCACCGAAGCUGCGGAUUGAUACCAAUGGUAUCAGUGGUAGGGGAGCGUUCUAAGGACAGUGAAGUCAGACCGUAAGGACUGGUGGAGUGCUUAGAAGUGAGAAUGCCGGUAUGAGUAGCGAAAGACGGGUGAGAAUCCCGUCCACCGAAUGCCUAAGGUUUCCUGAGGAAGGCUCGUCCGCUCAGGGUUAGUCAGGACCUAAGCCGAGGCCGACAGGCGUAGGCGAUGGACAACAGGUUGAUAUUCCUGUACCACCUCUUUAUCGUUUGAGCAAUGGAGGGACGCAGAAGGAUAGAAGAAGCGUGCGAUUGGUUGUGCACGUCCAAGCAGUUAGGCUGAUAAGUAGGCAAAUCCGCUUAUCAUAAAGGCUGAGCUGUGAUGGGGAAGCUCCUUAUGGAGCGAAGUCUUUGAUUCCCCGCUGCCAAGAAAAGCUUCUAGCGAGAUAAAAGGUGCCUGUACCGCAAACCGACACAGGUAGGCGAGGAGAGAAUCCUAAGGUGUGCGAGAGAACUCUGGUUAAGGAACUCGGCAAAAUGACCCCGUAACUUCGGGAGAAGGGGUGCUUUCUUAACGGAAAGCCGCAGUGAAUAGGCCCAAGCGACUGUUUAGCAAAAACACAGCUCUCUGCGAAGCCGUAAGGCGAAGUAUAGGGGGUGACACCUGCCCGGUGCUGGAAGGUUAAGGAGAGGGGUUAGCGUAAGCGAAGCUCUGAACUGAAGCCCCAGUAAACGGCGGCCGUAACUAUAACGGUCCUAAGGUAGCGAAAUUCCUUGUCGGGUAAGUUCCGACCCGCACGAAAGGUGUAACGAUUUGGGCACUGUCUCAACCAGAGACUCGGUGAAAUUAUAGUACCUGUGAAGAUGCAGGUUACCCGCGACAGGACGGAAAGACCCCGUGGAGCUUUACUGUAGCCUGAUAUUGAAUUUUGGUACAGUUUGUACAGGAUAGGCGGGAGCCAUUGAAACCGGAGCGCUAGCUUCGGUGGAGGCGCUGGUGGGAUACCGCCCUGACUGUAUUGAAAUUCUAACCUACGGGUCUUAUCGACCCGGGAGACAGUGUCAGGUGGGCAGUUUGACUGGGGCGGUCGCCUCCUAAAGUGUAACGGAGGCGCCCAAAGGUUCCCUCAGAAUGGUUGGAAAUCAUUCGUAGAGUGCAAAGGCAUAAGGGAGCUUGACUGCGAGACCUACAAGUCGAGCAGGGACGAAAGUCGGGCUUAGUGAUCCGGUGGUUCCGCAUGGAAGGGCCAUCGCUCAACGGAUAAAAGCUACCCCGGGGAUAACAGGCUUAUCUCCCCCAAGAGUCCACAUCGACGGGGAGGUUUGGCACCUCGAUGUCGGCUCAUCGCAUCCUGGGGCUGUAGUCGGUCCCAAGGGUUGGGCUGUUCGCCCAUUAAAGCGGUACGCGAGCUGGGUUCAGAACGUCGUGAGACAGUUCGGUCCCUAUCCGUCGUGGGCGUAGGAAAUUUGAGAGGAGCUGUCCUUAGUACGAGAGGACCGGGAUGGACGCACCGCUGGUGUACCAGUUGUUCUGCCAAGGGCAUAGCUGGGUAGCUAUGUGCGGAAGGGAUAAGUGCUGAAAGCAUCUAAGCAUGAAGCCCCCCUCAAGAUGAGAUUUCCCAUAGCGUAAGCUAGU
rnacentral:rRNA from 1 species